GCGGGAAUAGCUCAGUUGGUAGAGUACAACCUUGCCAAGGUUGGGGUCGCGAGUUCGAGCCUCGUUUCCCGCUCCA
rnacentral:tRNA from 1 species